rnacentral:rRNA from 1 species
GAUGAACGCUGGCGGCGUGCCUAAUACAUGCAAGUCGAGCGAACUGAUUAGAAGCUUGCUUCUAUGACGUUAGCGGCGGACGGGUGAGUAACACGUGGGCAACCUGCCUGUAAGACUGGGAUAACUUCGGGAAACCGAAGCUAAUACCGGAUAGGAUCUUCUCCUUCAUGGGAGAUGAUUGAAAGAUGGUUUUGGCUAUCACUUACAGAUGGGCCCGCGGUGCAUUAGCUAGCUGGUGAGGUAACGGCUCACCAAGGCAACGAUGCAUAGCCGACCUGAGAGGGUGAUCGGCCACACUGGGACUGAGACACGGCCCAGACUCCUACGGGAGGCAGCAGUAGGGAAUCUUCCGCAAUGGACGAAAGUCUGACGGAGCAACGCCGCGUGAGUGAUGAAGGCUUUCGGGUCGUAAAACUCUGUUGUUAGGGAAGAACAAGUACAAGAGUAACUGCUUGUACCUUGACGGUACCUAACCAGAAAGCCACGGCUAACUACGUGCCAGCCGCCGCCGCUGUAA